GACAACCUACUGGGGUCUCCUCCCACAGUGUUGAAGCUUUGUUUUUGUUGCUGUUUGCAAUAAAUUUUGUCAUGGCUGACUCUUUGGUCUAUACUGCGUUUAUACAUUGUAACACUCACCGGGAAGAUCUGUAGUCUCACUUCUGAAGCCAGCGAAGCCACGAGCCCACCGAGAGGAACGAACAACUCCAGAAGCGUCGCCUUAGCAGUUGUAACACUUGUCUGGAGAGUCUGCAGUUUCAUUUCUGAAGCCAGCGAGAUGAUGAGCCCACUGGAAGGAGGGAACAACUCCAGACGCCCUGCCUUAAGAGCUGUAAAACUCACCGCGAAGGUUUACGGCUUCACUCCUCAGCCAGGGAGACCACGAAUCCAUCAGAAGGAAGAAACUCCGAACACACCUAAACAUCAGCAGGAACAAACUCUGGACAUGCUGCCUUUAAGAACUGUAAUUUCGUGAGGGUCCGCGGCUCUGUUCUUGAAGUCAGUGAAACCAAGAACCCGCCAAUUCCGGACCCAGUGUUAUGCUGAAAUUUUCAGGGGCUGUCAGAUUUAUUCUCUUAACCACAUUUCUGAAUAUAUACAAAUACCACUAUUUCCCCAUAGCCCUUUAGCCCUUUGUACUUCAAAAUAUUUUGUUUAAUGUUUUUUCUUUUUUUUUUUUUUUUUGUUUUUUGGAGAUAGAGUUCUGUUCUGUAACUCAGGUGGGAGUGCAGUGGCCGGACUUCAGCUCACUGCAACCUGCACCUUCCGGUUUCAAGUGAUUCUUCUGUCUCAGCCUCCCGAGUAGCUGGGAUUUUAGGCACGUGCCACCACACCGGGCUGCUUUUUGUAUUAAAGGAGACGAGGUUUCAUGUUGGCCAGGCUAGUAUGGAACUCCUGCGUUAAGGCAAUCCACCUGCCUUGGGCUCCCAAAGUGCUAGGACUACAGGUGUGAGCCACUGUGUCCAUCCAUGUUUUAUUUUUUUCUUUGAAACAACAGUACAUAUAAUAGAGAUACAAUUAAUUGGGAUUAAAAAAGGAAAAUAAGACAGUAAAAACAGUCUGGAUUUCCAGUUUAGGGUUUUGCGUGUAAGUAGCUUGGAUGUUGCCACUUUGCUUUAACAACUGAGAAGCUGAAGGAAGUGAAAAAUCUAACUUUUUAGAUUCAUAAAAGAAGAUAGGUCACAGAGGAAACUGGUGCCCACCCCCCCCCCAAAUUGGAGAGACAGACAGAUAGACAUUGAAAAUCACAGCACACGAGCAGAAAUAUCUGUGGGAACCAUUGCAUAGAUAAGAAAACCUGAAUUCUAAUCAAUGAACUGCUGGAGGCUAGGUGUGGACAAGUCUGAGAGUUAAAAACUCCAGGGGGACCCAGUCACAGCAAGGCCCCAUGCUUUUGUGUAUUUUACUUACAGGAACUUGACCAGAUUCUUGCAGUAAAUAUUAGAGAAAAAUCCCCUUGUGCUUCCACAUGGGGAGAGGAAAAGGGACUAUUUUGAAUAGCACCUGUUUGUCUUAAUAAAUUCUGCCCUCAGGAGAAACUAAUCAGAGCCUAACCUGCUGUGGUUUUAUCAGCUCUUGGGGGAGGAAAA
rnacentral:lncRNA from 1 species